UCGGCGUGACGGUAUCCAAUCAGAAAGCCACGGCUAACUACGUGCCAGCAGCCGCGGUAAUACGUAGGUGGCAGGCGUAAUCCGGAUUUAUUGGGGGUAAGGCGAGCGCAGGCGGGUUUUUAAGUCUGAUGUGAAAGCCCUCGGCUUACCCGAGGAAGUGCAUCGGGAACUGGGAAACUUGAGUGCAGAAGAGGACAGUGGAACUUCCAUGUGUAGCGGUGAAAUGCGUAGAUAUAUGGAAGAACACCAGUGGCGAAGGCGGCUGUCUGGUCUGUAACUGACGCUGAGGCUCGAAAGCAUGGGUAGCGAACAGGAUUAGAUACCCUGGUAGUCCAUGCCGUAAACGAUGAAUGCUAGGUGUUGGAGGGUUUCCGCCCUUCAGUGCCGCAGCUAACGCAUUAAGCAUUCCGCCUGGGGAGUACGACCGCAAGGUUGAAACUCAAAGGAAUUGACGGGGGCCCGCACAAGCGGUGGAGCAUGUGGUUUAAUUCGAAGCAACGCGAGAACCUUACCAGGUCUUGACAUCUUUUGAUCACCUGAGAGAUCAGGUUUCCCCUUCGGGGGCAAAAUGACAGGUGGUGCAUGGUUGUCGUCAGCUCGUGUCGUGAGAUGUUGGGUUAAGUCCCGCAACGAGCGCAACCCUUAUGACUAGUUGCCAGCAUUUAGUUGGGCACUCUAGUAAGACUGCCGGUGACAAACCGGAGGAAGGUGGGGAUGACGUCAAAUCAUCAUGCCCCUUAUGACCUGGGCUACACACGUGCUACAAUGGAUGGUACAACGAGUUGCGAGACCGCGAGGUCAAGCUAAUCUCUUAAAGCCAUUCUCAGUUCGGACUGUAGGCUGCAACUCGCCUACACGAAGUCGGAAUCGCUAGUAAUCGCGGAUCAGCACGCCGCGGUGAAUACGUUCCCGGGCCUUGUACACACCGCCCGUCACACCAUGAGAGUUUGUAACACCCGAAGCCGGUGGCGUAACCCUUUUAGGGAGCGAGCCGUCUAAGGGUGGACAAAUGAUUAG
rnacentral:rRNA from 1 species